CCCUUAGAUGAUUUGGGCUGCACGCGCGCUACACUGACCCUAACAAUGAGCAAAUGUCUGGCCUGAGAUGGCUGGGUAGCCUUUUCAACCCAUGUCAUGAUUGGGCUAGAUUUUUGUAAGUCUUGAUCUCUAACGAGGAAUCCCUAGUAUGCGUGAAUCAUCAAUCCAUGCAGAUUAUGUCCCUGCCCUUUGUACACACCGCCCGUCGCUCCUACUGAUUGGGUGAUCCGGUGAGCUGUUCGGCCAUAGCAAUGUUUCUUGAGCAGGGCAAUGAAUGUUUCGCAAACCUUGCCACUUAGAGGAAGGAGAAGUCGUAACA
rnacentral:rRNA from 1 species